UACAGAGGGUGCAAGCGUUGUUCGGAAUUACUGGGCGUAAAGGGUGCGUAGGCGGUUGUUUAAGUCUGUUGUGAAAUCCCCGGGCUCAACCUGGGAAUGGCAAUGGAUACUGGGCAGCUAGAGUGUGUCAGAGGAUGGUGGAAUUCCCGGUGUAGCGGUGAAAUGCGUAGAGAUCGGGAGGAACAUCAGUGGCGAAGGCGGCCAUCUGGGACAACACUGACGCUGAAGCACGAAAGCGUGGGGAGCAAACAGG
rnacentral:rRNA from 1 species